rnacentral:sRNA from 1 species
AGUGGCUCAUUCACCGACUUAUGUCAGCCCCUUCGGGACGUGCUACAUAAAAUUCGAAUGACGCACAACAAGGUGCCUGCCGUCCAACUUCUGAUAUCAGCGUAGCUAUGCGAAACGUCGAGUUAGGCACCGCCUU